AAGUCGUAACAAGGUUUCCGUAGGUGAACCUGCGGAAGGAUCAUUAAUUAUUCAUCGGAAGAGUCCAGGUGGGCGGUGGAGGCAUGGGAAACCAUGCUUACCAUACGCCCCUUCUUCAUGAACAUCCCUUCUGUGUAUCAAACCUUUGUUGCUUCCCGCAUGGCGUGGCCUGCAAGGGCCACACUGCGGGGAGGAUAUCAUAAACUCUGGUUGUUGUAUUGUUAGUCUGAGUGGUAAACACAUUAAACAAGUUAAAACUUUCAACAACGGAUCUCUUGGUUCUC
rnacentral:misc_RNA from 1 species